rnacentral:lncRNA from 7 species
ACUUCCUCUAUUCCUGGCAUGCUGCUGAGUACUGCUGUGGAUGAAGGCAGAGGACUAAGUGUUCAGAGCUAUACGUUUCCCACAUCAGAAAAGGACUCUUCUAAUGCAAGAGUUUCCACUUCAAAAGUUAACAUCUGAUCAGCCACCUGGGGAUAACAUGAAAGGCUCAACAUGGAAAAAGAAGGGGGAUUCAGGAGGAUCAACAAAUCGACGAGCUUCAGGACUUGAACACUUCUGUGAAGACCAAGCUAUCUUACAGAGGACCAAAGCAAAAAACAGCAGACAUAACUCAAUUCCCACAAUGCCAAUACAAGGCCUCCAGAUGUGAAGUAUGCCUUAGUGCAUGCAGCACGUGUCUGAUGUUUCCUGAAUGAUGCAGUAUUUCAGAUGAAGCAGAUAACAACUGAAUAAAGUGUUAAUGCUAUU